GGGGUGGACAAUAGGUCCCCCCCUACAUUUUCAUUUAGGUCCCCCAUUCAGUUUAAUAGCCCGCACAUGCACUGCACGGGUGGGGGACCUAAAUGAAAAUGUAGGGGGGACCUAUUGUCCGCCCCUACAAAUAAUGU